rnacentral:rRNA from 1 species
AGUGAACGCUGGCGGUAGGCCUAACACAUGCAAGUCGAACGGCAGCACAGUAAGAGCUUGCUCUUACGGGUGGCGAGUGGAGGACGGGUGAGGAAUACAUCGGAAUCUACUUUUUCGUGGGGGAAAACGUAGGGAAACUUACGCUAAUACCGCAUACGACAUACGGGUGAAAGCAGGGGAUCUUCGGACCUUGCGCGAAUGAAUGAGCCGAUGUCGGAUUAGCUAGUUGGCGGGGUAAAGGCCCACCAAGGCGACGAUCCGUAGCUGGUCUGAGAGGAUGAUCAGCCACACUGGAACUGAGACACGGUCCAGACUCCUACGGGAGGCAGCAGUGGGGAAUAUUGGAAAAUGGGCGCAAGCCUGAUCCAGCCCUACCGCGUGGGUGAAGAAGGCCUUCGGGUUGAAAAGCCCUUUUGUUGGGAAAGAAAAGCAGCAGGUGAAUACCCCGCUGUUCUGACGGUACCCAAAGAAUAAGCACCGGCUAACUUCGUG